AAACGCUGACGCAUUUACAAUGGCAGAAGCAAAAAUAGAAAUGGUCAUCACACCAAAAAUAACAAUCUUGCAAAGGCCAAAACCUGAGCUUGAAAAAGCCGCACAACCAAAUCCUGAAAAGUCUCCUGUGGCACAACCACAAAAGGAAAUGGUUGUGAAACCAAAGAAACAAAAAAAGGAAAAACAGAAAAGAGUGGCUGAAGAACCGAGAAGACCAAUUACUCGGGCAUAUGCCCGGGCUCUUCUUGAAGCUCAAAACAACAUGGGUGAUGGAGCAAACCCAACAAAUAAAGAAAUGCAAGAAAACACUGAAGCCACUCCUGAAAGGGAAAAAGCUGAAUCCCUCACCAUUUCAAAUGCAAAGGAGGACAUGAAUAUGGCGAGAGAGGGAAAUGUGAAUAAGCCCAGCAGACCAAACCCUGGGCCUAAUGGAGGGACUUGGCAAUAUCAACCCAAUCCCACAUUUAGACCCCAUCAGGGCAGUGUCCAGUUUAAUCCCUGGCACGAGAUUGCUGCUCUCAGACAGCAACUGGAAGCCUCCCAAUACCAUCAGAACGCCCUUUACUGGAAAAUGGUAGCUGCAAACAAGAGGGCCUCUUAUCACCAGUUUCAGGUGAACAAACUUCAUGCACAAAUGCAUGAGAACAACAGAAGUCAUGAGGAAACAAUUAAAGUCCUCAUAGAGCAGCUAGAGGAGGCUUCUAGUAAUAAGCCCAAUGACAUCAGUGAGACAGAGGCUCUCACAAAUGACAGUGAAGCUAUUGUCAUACUGGAUGAGGUGAUGGUUACCCUGCAGGACCAAAUCAGCCACCCUACCACAGAGCAGUGUGUGGAGUCUGCCACUCCAACCACAGAGGCUUCACACACAGACUCUGUAGGACUGAUGUCCUCUAAGGAGGCUGAAUUUGAGGUCCAAUGUAGAAUUCAGCAAGAGCAGAUUGAGAUGCUCCAGAAACAGCUCCUAGCAGCUCAAAAUCAGCUCGAAGAGCAGGCUGUUAAAAAUAGGCAGGAGCAGGAGACACUCAACCUGGAAAUCAGUGACCUGAAAUCCCAGCUCUGCUCCAACAAGGCCCUUCAUGAUUUGAAGGUUGAGUCUCUUGAACAAGAGCUAAAAGAGGACUCACCGCCAUCCACUGCAAUGUCUCUGCAGGAGCCUCUGAAAGAAAAAGACACCAGACAACAAGAAAAAGAAGAAAAAGAGGACUCGCCUGCAUUGUCUGUGCAGGAAUCUUUGCAAAGUCUACGAGACAAGCAGAAAAUGUUCACUGUGCAGGUGGCUGAACUCGAGACUGAAGUUAAGAGCCUGCCAGAGAUUCCGCCAAGUAAGAAGAAGAAGAAGAAGAAGCGGAACUGUCUGCAUCCCCAGUUUCACCUAAUUGGUCUCAACACCACGUCCUAAAAAUCAUAUUUAUAUACAACUAAAUUGUCAGUGAACAUUUGAAGCCCACUCGGUCGAGACAGAAGGCCACCCCUUCCUGAGCCCGGUUCUGUCAGAGGUUUCUUCCUAUUAAGAGGGAGUUUUUCCUCUCCACUGUCGCCAAGUGCUUGCUCAUAGGGGAUUUGGGGGCUUUUUUUUAACACCAACCACUGAUAAGCUCACUGACAUCAAAUUUAGGACUCAGCAAAUAUAUAAAUGGAUGAGGAAUCAUCCAUUUAAAACAUCUUUGCUGAGUCAUAUUUAGUUGUACAUAAAUAUGAUUUCUGGGACACUAAGGCCAAUCACAGACUCAUUUGGACA
ensembl:lncRNA